rnacentral:rRNA from 1 species
UACGGGGGGGGCAAGCGUUGUUCGGAAUUACUGGGCGUAAAGGGCGCGUAGGCGGCCACCGCAAGUCGGUUGUGAAAUCUCUGGGCUUAACCCAGAAAGGUCAACCGAUACUGCGGGGCUAGAGUGCAGAAGGGGCAACUGGAAUUCUCGGUGUAGCGGUGAAAUGCGUAGAUAUCGAGAGGAACACCUGCGGCGAAGGCGGGUUGCUGGGC